CAUAAUGGAAAAACAUCUAAAAUAAGUAUCGACCGAGACGACCGAUUAUGCUGUCGAAAAAAUAAAAACACAUCAGUGAGAUUACUUGAUGACUGUACAUACUUGUGAAAGUAAAUAAUAAAACGGGCGAUAUUGAAAUUCGCACUGGGGUUAGUCGCAACCGGUGGGCGAAUCAAAGGUGUACUAUCCCUUGCCAGGCAAAUUAUGACAUUUGAUCCUUCGCCAACCCAAUGCACCAUCAACUGCUGAUGAGAGUCCUUCAAUGAAUUCACCUGGAAGAGAAAAAAAGAACGACCGUUUAAUUAAACUGUAUGUCAUCAACAUUGACUACAGUUACAGCUGGCCAGCUCUCUACAAACAGGAUAAAUGCUUGGUUUCUUGGAAAGAGAGCAAAGUGAAUUCAUGAAACGGUAGCUGUAAGGUAUGAUUAUACAGUUACAACACUGAUCAUCUUUUUUGACUCAUGAUAUCGACAACAACAUAUUCUUGGAAAUAUUUAAUCUCUAAAGGAGGAUGUCCUUCUCGCAAUGUUAACAACGGUUGGAUGCAACUGUAAGAUAAGAGUUUUUCUUUUUUGUCUCAUUUUGAAA